UACGUAGGGGGCAAGCGUUGUCCGGAAUCAUUGGGCGUAAAGAGCGCGUAGGCGGCCCAGUAAGUCCGCUCUGAAAGUCAGAGGCUCAACCUCUGAAUGCGGGUGGAUACUGUCGGGCUUGAGUACGGAAGAGGCGAGUGGAAUUCCUGGUGUAGCGGUGAAAUGCGCAGAUAUCAGGAGGAACACCAAUUGCGAAGGCAGCUCGCUGGGACGUUACUGACGCUGAGACGCGAAAGCGUGGGGAGCAAACAGG
rnacentral:rRNA from 1 species